AGCUCGUUAUGUUCAAAGUCAAUACUUUAUCAGUAACUUGACAGCAAAAAUAUCCAAGUCAUGAUUUCAUUUCUUAAACUGGACAUUACAAAAUGAAGCAGCUGCACAUCUUGAAUGAUUAAAGCUGUGUUCAUUUCUGCCCUAUGUAUGAAUAAGAAACGUAUGUUCAAAAUUAAGACUUGUGUAGCAUUCACUCUGGAAUAGUUAUGAACAGACACCUGCCCGUCACAAUCAGUUGCAGUCAGUCACUUCCAUAUUAUUGGACCUUCUCACAGUCACUCUCAACACCUCAGCCAAUCACCUCUCACACCUGGAAUCCACCUCUGUUCCUUUGUUUGUUUCAUUCAGUCACACACAGUCACUGAACAGCAGGAUCACCCCACACCACUCAUCUCUGGAAACCAUUCACUUUUUACAAGCCUGGAAAUCUGGAAAUCACAGCAUCAAAGAGGAUGUCUUCAACUACUUUUGGAUUUCUGGAUUUCACCCACCUGAACCCACAUUGUGCUGAACAUUGAAUAUUGGUUAGGCUUGAGCUGAUGGCGAGCUACCCUGGACCUCACUGGAAAACUGUCUGACACGUUUCACCCCUUCACCCACCUCACUCAUUGGCAGGUCUAAAGCCCCACAGCUUCAUCCCUUCCAGAAUGGUGUGGUAGGAUUUGUUGGACUUUGUUGGACUUUGUUGGAACUGUUUUAUGAAUCAGCUUAUCGUUCACUUCAACCAGGAAUUGUCAGUGGACUAUUGAUAAUUGAACUAAGCACAUAGUCACUUUAUAUUGUUGAAAGUGAAGCUGCUUAUUGUGAUUUGGAUUGAUUGAAGGACAGGUGAAGGUUGAUUUUUUUUUUUUUUUUUUUUUUUUGAUUUUCUGAUUCUGAUUUUCUGUUAUUGUUUUGUGUUUUGUAUUAUUAUUUUGAUCAUUGUUUUUGCCUUGAUAUAUUCAAGUAUUUUCUGUUGAUUAUUUUUAAUACAUUACCGGUAAACU